CAGCAGCCCGGGAAAACGAAGGGUGCAAGCGUUACUCGGAAUUACUGGGCGUAAAGCGUGUGUAGGUGGUUGUUUAAGUCUGUCGUGAAGGCCCUGGGCUCAACCUGGGAAUUGCGAUGGAUACUGGGCGACUAGAGUGCGGUAGAGGAUAGUGGAACUUCCGGUGUAGCAGUGAAAUGCGUAGAGAUCGGAAGGAACAUCUGUGGCGAAGGCGACUAUCUGGGCCAACACUGACACUGAGACACGAAAGCGUGGGGAGCAAACAGGAUUAGAUACCCAAGUAGUCCCUGUCUCUUAUACA
rnacentral:rRNA from 1 species